AUCUGUAAUCAUACUUCAGCAGGGGUGUACUCCCCCCCCCCUCCUCAAGCCAAGAAGCCCUACCAAAAGGUCAAGAAAGAGGAAGGUGGAGAUGACUGGGCGGCCUCCUCAGCCAAUGGAGAGCGGGAAUCGGGUGUCUCGGUGUUGCUAUGUUGAUAAUAUAAAGUUGUAGUCUGUCUGGACAGUUAACUGUGUGGAUUUCUUCUCUGCUCCACCAUCCGCUACCUUCCUGCAUGGUACUGUGCUAUGCUACGCUAAACUGAAAUUUUUUUGUUCCUGGUUCAGGUUCCUGAGACAUCUGACUGAUCUAAUGAAGCACUUGCAUAUCAACCGAACAGAGGACACUUUUAAAGACGGAUAUAAAGUAUUUGAAAGAAGGAUAGAAAAGACUCGGAAGCGUGGACUGGCCGACCAGAAGCAACAUGACCAGUGUUAACUCCCCCGCCUGCGUCCUGGCUCGCAACCAGUUCUAUAGAAACACAAGAAGCCCUGCAGACAGUACAACACCUACUACAGUCUACAGCCUCUCCGAUUGGUCGACGCUAGCACCGAAACAAAGACAUGUAACUGUGUGGAUGUCCAAGUCCACACAGCCAGGAUUCCCAGGAGCAGGGGGGAUAUCGAGAGGAUGGCGGGUCGGUGUGGUUUUAGGGAGCUCCACACCCCGUACGGCCCACGUCAAGGGCCCCAGCCCGGCCUACAGAGCUGUCAAGUAGAGACACACCGUCACCAAUCAGCAGGUUGAAACACACAGAGGAAGACGAGGGAGAAAGACAUCUUCCUUUCUGUUCUGUCCUCUCAGCACAGAAAUAUGGACUUGAUCAAGCCAGUCAGUGUUGAACAUGUCUUCUAUGUUGCUCUGGUCUCUACCCUGACUCCUGUUAUAGGAGGCAGAAGGAAGGGCCAGAAAGAGAAGACAUUUCUGUGAGCGCUCUCUAAAACAGACUGUAUUAUUCAACACCAUCACACACAGCCCAGUUACGCCCCCUCCGCCUACUCCCCUCUUUUUUUGUAUUUAUUUAACCUUUAUUUAACUAGGCAAGUCAGUUAAGAACAAAUUCUUAUU